rnacentral:rRNA from 1 species
GUGCAAGCGUUGUCCGGAAUUAUUGGGCGUAAAGAGCUCGUAGGCGGUUUGUCGCGUCUGCUGUGAAAACCCGAGGCUCAACCUCGGGCCUGCAGUGGGUACGGGCAGACUAGAGUGCGGUAGGGGAGAUUGGAAUUCCUGGUGUAGCGGUGGAAUGCGCAGAUAUCAGGAGGAACACCAAUGGCGAAGGCAGAUCUCUGGGCCGUAACUGACGCUGAGGAGCGAAAGCAUGGGGAGCGAACAGGAUUAGAUACCCUGGUAGUCCAUGCCGUAAACGUUGGGAACUAGAUGUGGGGACCAUUCCACGGUCUCCGUGUCGCAGCUAACGCAUUAAGUUCCCCGCCUGGGGAGUACGGCCGCAAGGCUAAAACUCAAAGGAAUUGACGGGGGCCCGCACAAGCGGCGGAGCAUGCGGAUUAAUUCGAUGCAACGCGAAGAACCUUACCAAGGCUUGACAUAUAGAGGAAACGUCUGGAAACAGUCGCCCCGCAAGGUCUCUAUACAGGUGGUGCAUGGUUGUCGUCAGCUCGUGUCGUGAGAUGUUGGGUUAAGUCCCGCAACGAGCGCAACCCUCGUCCUAUGUUGCCAGCACGUAAUGGUGGGAACUCAUGGGAUACUGCCGGGGUCAACUCGGAGGAAGGUGGGGAUGACGUCAAAUCAUCAUGCCCCUUAUGUCUUGGGCUUCACGCAUGCUACAAUGGCCGGUACAAAGGGCUGCAAUACCGCAAGGUGGAGCGAAUCCCAAAAAGCCGGUCUCAGUUCGGAUUGAGGUCUGCAACUCGACCUCAUGAAGUCGGAGUCGCUAGUAAUCGCAGAUCAGCAACGCUGCGGUGAAUACGUUCCCGGGCCUUGUACACACCGCCCGUCAAGUCAUGAAAGUCG